AAACUGUUUGGCCUUGUCAAUCAAAAAAGUGUAUCAGUUGUGUGUGUGUGUUUGUGUCAGCUGUUGUCAAUGUCAAACCAUUAGUAAAUUAUCAGUUUGAUUUUAAUAUGCUUAAUAACUGGGUCUUUAUACUUUUAGAUGCCCCGUGGCAAGUCCUACCGUCGCUCUGAGGCGGCUAAGUGGAGGAUGUCGGAGCGACAGUUGGCCUCCAGUGACGCUGGUGCAUGUGGCGUGCACAAACGGUCAAUUUCUGAGCACACUGGGCGCCAGCAUAAAUUGGUCAUUCCAGUUUAGGUCCCAGGCAAGACGCUUGUUCUUCUUGUAGGGGCAUCCCAUCUGCACUCCCUUGCAGAUGGGAUUGUGCUGAUGCCAGAGGAUUGCUACACCUUUGGCGUCAUGUCCACUCUAGGGGCGUGCGCUGACCAGCUCAGGACUGAGGAUGAAAAUGCUGUUCUUCCUCGGAUCUCUGAUGCUGUCUGUGUCAUGGCCCCUAGGAACAACCUGACGGCCAGCAAGACGCCUAAGCAAGGAGGCAUAGCUUUUGGCUUUUAGGUCUUCGCUGGGACCUUGUCCCACACUCGACAGUCCCGGGGGAUAUCCAAGAGUUUUUCCGGCAUGACUUUAACCGCGUGUCAGCAUGUCUCAGUGUGAAAUAUUUUCACCACGCUGACCGCUUCCCCCUAAACAACUGCAAGCUGUGGUGCUGUGAUGGUGUACACCCCAGAGACGACAUGGGGAUGCCUAUCCUCGUGGAGUCGCUGUUGGUUGCCACCAAACAGCACCUGGAGAUACCAGCACCUAAGCCACAGUUGUUG